rnacentral:rRNA from 1 species
GCUGUUAAGGGUUCGUAGUUGAAUAUGGGGUUUGUGACUGGGCCAAGUUCGCUUGGUCGCUUCACUACUCUGUCAUAGACGUGGAAAGGUGCCGUGCCGGAUACAGCUCCUUAACUGGGGGGUUGAAGGCUGAAAGCUGAAGAAGUUUUCAUUUUCGCGUGCGACGCACGCUUGGCCGCCCGUCGUUUCACUGUGAAGAAAACAGCGUGUUCAAGGCAACCAUUCUUGGUUGUAUGCAAAGCAUGGAAUGACAAGGCAUCGACCAGUGGGUCUGUCUUUUGUCGGUUUUUACGACUUUUUGGAUAAUUUGUUUCCGUAGCCCAACGUCUCUUCUUUCGAGUUGAACGUACUACGGCGGCACGGGAUUAAUGGGGGUUGUCGGGGGAAAACGUAUCUGAGCGUGAGAGGUGAAAUUCUUGGCCGCUCGGGGACGAACUUAUGCGAAGGCAUUUUCCAAGUAUACCUUCAUCAAUCAGAACUAAAGUG